rnacentral:lncRNA from 1 species
CCUGUGUGUCUUUUCACAGCUGCAGCUUGGCACUGUAUCCUCUCCUCUGAGUCCAAGCCCAUUGUGCUGGAGAAAAGGGAGCACCGCUCCAUGUAGCUCACAGCUGUGCUGUUCCUACUAAGUGUAUAUCCAUGGAGAGGCCAUUUAAAUUUGAGGAAACACACCUAAAUCCCCGAGUCUUCUUUCGCAACUAUCAACUCUAAUCUGAUCUCUAAUUUAUUUUUGUUCAUCCCUAAUUGUUUUUCCCCACCCUGUUAACUUAUUGUUUAUAUUUGUUUAUUUUGGCAGUGUUCUGAGGCCAGAAUUGAGAGUUUUGUUUCUCUACUGUGUAACAUAAAUGUAUGCUAUAUACAUGAGUACAUAUACCAGCUCAAUUGUGUUUAUUAUUUUUCUCUCCCUAACCAGAGUAACACUGUGAUCUCCUUGGUAUCUUUCUGAGCUGAAUAUACUAGGAAAGAAUGACCAAACGUUCAUGUCUAUAGCGCACUACUUUCUGACUAUUACUAGAGGCACGAGAGCUGCAGAGAUGUUUCCUGGUUUGCUUGAUGCUGUUCCUGUCGCUCUUUUUCUUCCACUUCUGAAGACGUCGAGGCCAAAUGCAAGAAGAGGGUUGUAACCCUGGGGAGACGUGUACUGCUGUGCAGAGUCACAUAAGAGAACUGUCUGGCACCACAUGGAAACAGAGGUUUGAUAUUUUUUUCCUCAAUACCCAUAUUGUUAGCUGGAGUCCAAAUGCAG